UAGAAUGAAUGACCUUGAAAUGACCAGUGGUCAUCUAAGUGUGCUUGCAAACCUUCAUGUCAAGUUUGAAGACUCUAUGUCCAAGCAUACCAAAGUUAUAACAAUUUUAACAUUUUAACAUUUAAGGUCACAGUGACCUUGACCUUCAAAUGAAUGACAUUGAAAUGACCAGUGGUCAUCUUCUAGUACUGGCCAAUCUUUAUUUCAAGUUUGAAGACUCUAGGUACAAGCAUACCAAAGUUAUAACAUGAAAUAAGAACUUUAACAUUUUUACAUUCAAGGUCACAGUGACCUUGACCUUCAAAUGAAUGACCUUGAAAUGUCCAGUGGUUACUUACUAGUUCUGGCCAACCUUCAUGUCAAGUUUCAAGACUCUAGGUCCAAGCAUACCAAAGUUAUAACAACUUUAACAUUUUUAUAUAGCUACAGUAGGACAUUCAAUGAAAUCACGAAAUUUUGACGAACAAAGUCCCAUAACUCUGGAACGACAAUUCAGAAUUCCGUCAAAAACGAAAGGGGAUCAGGGUUUAUCAAUAUUAAGAUUGUGUUAAAAUUUGAAGAAAAUCUGUCAAAGGAUAUUUGACGUAGCGUACGACAUUAACAGACGGACGGACGGACGGACGCGGGGUAUACCAUAAUACGUCCCGUCAUAGA